ACAAGCUUGGUGAGUCCAAAUGUGAGAGCCAUAGCCAUCCAGCCUCCUAUGAGCACCCUGGCACAAGAUUUCACCAGCCAUCAAAGGCACUAUGGCUCCAAAUGAGAAUGCAAGGGAUGAUGCCAAAGCUGCUUUGAAUGGAUUUGGCAGAUUUUCCUUCUGUGAGUC